rnacentral:rRNA from 1 species
GACGGAGGGUGCGAGCGUUGUUCGGAAUUACUGGGCGUAAAGCGCGCGCAGGCGGGUGCGCAAGUCGGAGGUGAAAGCGCAGGGCUCAACCCUGCGACGCCCUCCGAGACUGCGUGUCUAGGGACCGGUAGAGGUGAGUAGAAUUCCCGGAGUAGCGGUGGAAUGCGUAGAUAUCGGGAAGAAUACCGGAGGCGAAGGCGGCUCACUGGGCCGGGUCCGACGCUGAGGCGCGAAAGCGUGGGGAGCAAACAGG